AUUGAACGCUGGCGGCAGGCUUAACACAUGCAAGUCGAGCGAGCGGCGGACGGGUGAGUAAUGUCUGGGAAACUGCCUGACGGAGGGGGAUAACUACUGGAAACGGUAGCUAAUACCGCAUACCAUCAGAUGUGCCCAGACGGGAUUAGCUAGUAGGUGGGGUAAUGGCUCACCUAGGGGCCGCUCCAUAGCUGGUCUGAGAGGAUGAACGGCCACACUGGAACUGAUACACGGUCCAGACUCCUACGGGAGGCAGCAGUGGGGAAUAUUGCACAAUGGACGCAAGCCUGAUGCAGCCAUGCCGCUUGUGUGAAGAAGGCCUUCGGGUUGUAAAGCACUUUCAUCGAGGAGGCGUUACUCGCAGAAGAAGCACCGGCUAACUCCGUGCCAGCAGCCGCGGUAAUUC
rnacentral:rRNA from 1 species